CUCUCCUUCACUUCCCUCAAUGCCCUCCAAUGGCGGCCUCCUCCCCAAACUCCGGCCUCGCCGGCGAUCCAAGAAGCCGGCCACCACCGUCGCCGAUGAAACUCCUCCCUCCCCGCCGGUCUACAUGCGCACUACCAUCUCCUCCAUCUCCAAUCUCCUCCGCUACUCCCCCUGGUCCUCAGCUCAGUCCCAACUCCACCUCCUCCCCAUCCGCUGGGACUCCUUCACCAUCAACCAAGUCCUCAAGACCCACCCUCCCAUGGAGAAAUCCUGGCUUUUCUUCAAUUGGGCCUCAAAGCUCCCUUCUUUCAAGCACGAUCACUUCACGUACACCACUAUGCUCGAUAUCUUUGGCGAGGCUGGCAGAAUCCAGUCCAUGCUUCGCGUUUUUCAGGACAUGGAGGAGAAGGGAAUCGCUGCUGAUGCCGCCACCUACACCUCUCUGAUGCAUUGGAUGGGGAAAGCUGGGGACUUUGAUGGGGCUGUGAAGGCUUGGGAGGAGAUGAGGUCCAGAGGGUGCCGCCCCACUAUUGUCUCUUAUACGGCGUUCAUCAAGGUGCUGUUCGACCAUGGGCGGCCGAGGGAGGCGGCUAGGGUUUAUAAGGAGAUGCUGGAGGUUGGGUUGACUCCCAAUUGCCAAACUUAUACGGUGCUGAUGGAGUAUCUAGCCGGAGAAGGUAAAUUUGAUGCUGUCCUUGAGGUAAUGAACAAAAUGCAAGAAGUAGGAAUACACCCUGACAAAGCUAUGUGCAAUAUUCUUGUCCAAAAAUGUUCUAAAGCUGGAGAAACAUCAGUGAUGGCUCAAAUUCUGCAAUUCAUGAAGGAGAACUUCAUUGUUCUGCGUCGUCCUGUAUUUUUGGAAGCACUAGAAGCUCUUAAGAUAUCUGGGGAAAGUGAUCACCUCCUCCGAGAAGUCAAUCCCCAUCUGUCUUGUGAAGGCAUGGUAGAGGAAAUCACAGAUUCUGAAUCAACUGUUACUGAUAUGAGUUCUGAAAUCGAUAGAGGAAUUAUCAUCAAUCUGUUGGCUAUGCGAAAUUUUGUUGCGAUAGAGCAUAUAUUAAGCGAGUCGCUUCAUAGAAACCUAUUACUCGAUUCCAAUAUUAUAUCUGCUGUUGUUCAUACCAAUUAUGCAACCCAUAGGUCAACUGGUGCACUAACAGCAUUUGAGUAUUGCAUAAAGAUGAGGCAAAUACUCGAUAAAUCAGCAUAUAUCUCCCUGCUUGGUCUGUCCAUUAGAAGUGGAUUGUAUCAGAAGGUCUUGGAGAUUGUUGAAGAGAUGGUUCGAGCUAAUAUUUGCCUGGGAACAUAUCUAGUGUCUCUCUUGAUAUACAAGCUUGGCUGUUCUGGGUUUCCAUCUUUUUCCGAGAAGUUAUAUUAUUUGUGUUCCACAGACCAGAAUUCUGCUACUUGUACAGCAUUAAUAAGUGCCUAUUUGCAAGCUGGUGAAGUUGAAAAAGGUCUUGAUGUCUAUUCAAGAAUGAGAAAUGAAGGAAUGCCUGUCUCGGUUGGCACAUAUGCAGCACUUAUUGUUGGUUUAGAGCAAGCAGGUCAGCCUCGAGAUGCAGAAGUUUACCGAAAAGAAAAGAAGAGACUUGAAUGGUGUUAUCAUUCUCGAGGAACUGCAUCAUUAGAAGAAAUUUUGUGCAACUGUUUAUUUGAUGGGGGCUAUUUUUUGCAUAUAAUGGUUAGGCAACAUUCAAUAGUUUGAAUCCUUGGAGACAGUUCUCAGUGACAUUUUCAAGUAGAAUCCCUUCUGCUAAAGUGUUUCUUUGUUUAUAUAUCAGAAUGUUGAAAGGUUGUGUACAGACAUGAAGGGAAGUUACUUCAUCCUGCGCAAACGAAAUACUAUAGUCAGGAGAAAUGGGUGAAGAUAAUGACUUGGUCUCUGGUUAAAUUAUCUGCAUGGUUCUUUCAUAAUGGAAGGUAUUCUCUGCUUCUUGAUUGUGUAAGAAGACUUGAACAGUGUACAUACACGAAUAUAAUUUCAUGCGGCUGGAUAGCACAGGACAAAUGUUAAUGCAUGCUAUGUAAGAUUUCUUCACCUAGAAGUCAUAGUGUAAUCCUUCUUGUGCAUCAAGUGACAAGCUUAUACAAUUUGGUGUCUGCAAACUGCAAUUAUCUCAAAUUGGGGAAUUGGUUAUUCAUUUGGAGGCCUGACUGAUAAUUUUGUGACACUGAGUUCAUGCAUUUCACUCAGAAAAGCACUUCACCUUAUUUGUUGGCUGACCACAAUGAACACAUUCAUUUACAUCUAUUUCUGAGAGGCGGCCGAUGAUCGUCCAUGGGUUAUAUAUGCAUAUUUCCAAUGAAUAAGCUUAGCGAAGCGGAUCCUUCCAACAAACCCGAAUCCGAUAACAUUCUCCUUUCUUCGCGCCUUAAACCCUUGGUUUCCAUUCCUCGAAGCACAAUCAUAUUUCCAGAGCUCCUUCGUUUCGUUUCGUUUCCAUUCGUCGCCGCCGUUCUUCUCCUCCGCCGCCCGUCUCCGCCCUCCGCCG